rnacentral:lncRNA from 1 species
AUGUUUGGCGUUGUAGAUUAUUUCUUACUAAAUGUUCAAACUAGUGCAGACUGCAGCGAGCGUAUGCAGAAGUUUACCUUAAGAAUCCUGGCCGGGACUCACAUUUACGAAGCAGAGACUACUUGUGAUCUCGGGGAAUGUAACCUGCUCCCAGGACUGGUGUGUCCUUCCUGUUGUAGAGCCUUCUCCCCGGGCUACACCAUCACCUUGCCUGAAAGGCCCAUGGGGCAGAUAGUGGCUUCCCUCCUUUCAUGGGUUCUCCUGCUGUCUUUGUAG